CCUACGGGUGGCAGCAGUGGGGGAUAUUGCACAAUGGGGGGAACCCUGAUGCAGCGACGCCGCGUGAGGGAAGACGGCCUUCGGGUUGUAAACCUCUGUCGCAGGGGACGAAGGAGAUGACGGUACCCUGUGAGGAAGCCACGGCUAACUACGUGCCAGCAGCCGCGGUAAUACGUAGGUGGCGAGCGUUGUCCGGAAUUACUGGGUGUAAAGGGAGCGUAGGCGGGAUAUUAAGUUGAAUGUAUAAACUACCGGCUUAACCGAUAGAAGCGUUCAAAACUGAUAUUCUUGAGUGAAGUAGAGGCAGGCGGAAUUCCUAGUGUAGCGGUGAAAUGCGUAGAUAUUAGGAGGAACACCAGUGGCGAAGGCGGCCUGCUGGGCUUUAACUGACGCUGAGGCUCGAAAGCGUGGGUAGCAAACAGGAUUAGAUACCCUAGU
rnacentral:rRNA from 1 species